GAGAAGCCCAGAGAUCCAUUUGUUUUGUAAUGAAUCAGUUUUCAGAACGCCCUUUUUGAAAUUUCUGCUUGACAUGUCUGACCACACCACUUAUGUCCAUUAUUGUUUACUGUUACUUCUCUGACCAGUUGUUUUUUUAAAAGUCACACAAACCAUGUUGAUUUGGUGCUGAAAGAAAAUUAUAUCCCUAGCUUCUGUGACAAACCCGUAGACUGAUAUGUGGCACUCAGGAGCCAAAGAGAAUUCCAGACUACGGGCGCCCAGCUUUACCUCAACCCCUAGUUGUCCUUCUUCCUGGUUGGCAGAAGGUCUUUUCCCAGUCCCAGUGCUCCUGGCCCACAUAGCUAAAGCAUUGUGUAUUUGGGAGGAAAAAGUGGGAAGUUACAUAUUGACUCCAAAUACAAGACUUUGUGUGGCCUUAGGGAGAAAAAGUAUUAGGGGCUUGUGACCAUCUGGCCUCUACUUGGUGAAUUAUGACCACCUGCAAUAGCCAACUCUCAACUCAGAUGUCAGCAUCCCCCUCUCAUCCCAAGGCUGUGGGCAAGAAAAGGAGCAUUUCCAUUCCCUCAGAAUAAUUUAGAGUCACUUCUAAGAAUUGCUACCUCCUGUGUGGCUGAUCCCUUUGGAAGGAACUGAGCCCUGAUUAUGAAUACAGCAUCUGGAUAUUGAUUUAGUCUCUAGAGUCUGGUCACCCCUGAAAUGUCAACUCUGUCAUCAAGGCAGGAAGAGGUGGAGAGUUUGGAGAAGGUAGAAAGUUAAUAGUGACAAAGGCACCUCCUAUUCUGACAUCACACAGUAAUGAUCAUAACCAUGGAGGCAAAUCUCCGUCCAAAGAGGGUUUUUUUGUUUGCUUUGUUUUGUUUUCAGCAUUUUCCUCAUUCUGAUGGAAACAUCCCUGGACCUUCAUGGGUCUGGAUUUGGUCAUAUCAAAAACCAUGGUGCCCAGUGGCUAUUUCAGUUAGUGCCCUGACAUCCCUGUGGCUGCCAUACUUUCAGAACCAAAAAUGAUGACAGAUCGCCUAACAUAGGCUUCUUUCUUAUUUAUGCGUUUUGUUUAGAUGAAAAUUCUUGCAGAGCAUAAAAAAUAAAUGGCAUUUCGUUAUCC